GACACCUUGGGAGGUGGGCUCCUGUUUUGGUACAAGACAAAUACCAAAGAGACCAAGCUUGGAUUUGUUUUAACAGGCAGGUUCAUGGGGAGGAAAAACACCAGUCGAGAGUAUAUAAGAAAAAGAGAUUUAUUUACUAUAUAUAUAUAUAUUUACAUUACCAUCCACAUCAACACCGGCAUAAGAAUCAGCACGGGUAAUCACAGCAACACCGGCAGCACGGGUAAUUACAGCAACACCGGCACGGGUAAUCGCAAAGUCAAUCUGGAGGCCUCACAGCAACACCGGCAAAUAAAUCAGAAAGGAAUCAUCACGGGCAUACACCGGAAAGAAAUCAGCACGGGUAUACACCGGCAAAGAUCAGCACGGGCAUCCGGCAACAAAGAUCAGCACGGGUGUCCGGCAAAGAAAUCAGCAGGGGUAACUGCAAAGCCAAGCCUUCUGUCGACUCUUAGUAAUAAGCUCUCUCCUGUAACAUAACACUAGACUGUUCUUCUUUAUACUGUAUUAACACUGGACUAUCUUUUAUACUGUGCUAAAAAAAGAAGUUCAUUUCUUUUAUAUUGUGCUAAAGAAAGAAGCUUAUUUACAGUUUAAGAUAUGUUGACUCCGUCUUCAUUAUGCAACUGCGUCCUUGAAUUGCUUUACUAAAAAGUGGACCACGGGAACUGGCCAGGUUCCCAGAUCUGGGUUCAAGGUGAGUUGAGCUCACUCUGUGCACCGAAUGCUCUCAACUUAUACAAGGAAAUGAAGAUCGUGAGGAGUCUGUGCAAAGCUUUAUAAACAAUCUAGUUAACCCUUACACUUGAAAACUGGCACAAGACAAGGAUGCCCUCUCUCACCACUUCUAUUCAACAUAGCAUUAAAAUUUAUGGCCAGAGCAAUCAGGCAAGAGAAAGAAACAAAGCAUAUUCAAAUAGGAAGAGAAGAAGUCAAAUUAUCUUUGUUUGCAGAUCACAUGACCCUAUAUCUAGAAAAUCCCAUCCUCUCAGCCCAAAAGCUUCAUAAGCUAAUAAGCAACUUCA
rnacentral:lncRNA from 1 species